UUGACUGCAUGAAAAUGUGAGAAUUAUAAACUUUAUAAAUACUUAAUCUAUUUAUAACAGAACAAUCAUCUUCCAAAAUACCCGAGAGUGAAGAAAAGCAAAUUAAGGUAUCUUACAAAAUGGUUUCAUGUUUUGAUUUUUUUCUUUCAUUCAGUUUUGGCAACAUGGCAAAGCGUUUAUUUUCAAGGACUGAUCAAGCUAACACUAAGCCUAAGCCAUCUAAUUCUCAAUUUACAAUUGUGACACGAGACCGUCCAAGGAACCAUAAUUAUUAAUAGGAAUAUAUGCUGUGCAUAAUUUUUUUUUAUUACGUAUAUUAAGAAAAAGUAAGUAGAAAAAAUAUGUAUAAAUGUUUAAGUUUCUAUUGGACAUAAAUUUUAGCUCAAUAUAUUGUUGUAGAUUUUUAAUGUGAGUUGUUUGAAAGUUAUUAUUAAAAAAAUAAUUGUUGCAGCAUGCCACUGUAUCACUUUUUCUUCUCUUGUGCAUAUUCCAUAAAUUGAAAAGUGCUUAAGUUU